GUAGGUGGCAAGCGUUGUCCGGAAUUAUUGGGCGUAAAGCGCGCGCAGGCGGUUCUUUAAGUCUGAUGUGAAAGCCCACGGCUCAACCGUGGAGGGUCAUUGGAAACUGGAGAACUUGAGUACAGAAGAGGAAAGCGGAAUUCCACGUGUAGCGGUGAAAUGCGUAGAGAUGUGGAGGAACACCAGUGGCAAAGGCGGCUUUCUGGUCUGUAACUGACGCUGAGGCGCGAAAGCGUGGGGAGCAAACAGGGAUUAGAUACCCUGGUAGUCCACGCCGUAAACGAUGAGUGCUAAGUGUUAGGGGGGUUUCCGCCCCCUUAGUGCUGCAGCUAACGCAUUAAGCACUCCGCCUGGGGAUACGGCCGCAAGGCUG
rnacentral:rRNA from 1 species